CUUUGGCAGCUCCAGUUGUUUUCAAUACCCAUUGAUUAGAGCUUCCCUUCUUGCUGAGGCCAGGAAUGCUCCAGUCCCUUCACCCUGUGCCCAGGCCUGGGCUCUGAAACAGCUCUCAGAACCUGUCUGAGUCAGUGCUCACCACAGUGAACGUGGUGGUGAACAGUGACUGCGGUGGAAUUUUCCUACAUUGCAAUGUACUUUUGCAGUGCUAAGCAGAUGCUCUGCUGUAAUGAGAGGAAACAGAAGUGGAAAACACAGAGGCUCAUACUUAAACAAAUGAACAGAUGCAAGGAGUGGAAAACAACAAGCACAGCCCUCACCCCACAGAGAUGGGGAUUCAUUUGCUAAAAGGACAGCUGGCAGCAAAGACCAUCCUGAGCUUUGUGGGCUAUGUCUCUUCAGGAGACAUUAUUAUGGCAAACACUCCCUCUGCGCUAAGACAUUUAAACAGUCUUCCCGGCAAUGUUAAAAAUGUAAGGCAUGCAUGA
rnacentral:lncRNA from 1 species